AGCGAACGCUGGCGGCAGGCCUAAUACAUGCAAGUCGAGCGGGUCCUUCGGGAUUAGCGGCGGACGGGUGAGUAACGCGUGGGAACGUGCCCUUUGGUACGGAACAACUGAGGGAAACUUCAGCUAAUACCGUAUGUGCCCUUCGGGGAAAGAUUUAUCGCCAUUGGAGCGGCCCGCGUUGGAUUAGGUAGUUGGUGAGGUAAAGGCUCACCAAGCCUACGAUCCAUAGCUGGUCUGAGAGGAUGACCAGCCACACUGGGACUGAGACACGGCCCAGACUCCUACGGGAGGCAGCAGUAGGGAAUCUUGCGCAAUGGGCGAAAGCCUGACGCAGCCAUGCCGCGUGAAUGAUGAAGGGUCUUAGGAUUGUAAAAUUACUUUC
rnacentral:rRNA from 1 species